GACGAACGCUGGCGGCGUGCUUAACACAUGCAAGUCGAACGCUGAAGCUCAGCUCUUGUUGGGCGGAUAAGUGGCGAACGGGUGAGUAACACGUGAGUAAACUGCCCCCUUCUUUGGGAUAACGCCCGGAAACGGGUGCUAAUACUCGAUAUUCACUGGUCUUCGCCUGGGGGCUGGUGGAAAGGGUUUUUCUGGUGGCGGAUGGGCUCGCAGCCUAUCCGCUUGUUGGUGGGGUGAUGGUCGACCAAGGCGUUGGCGGGUAGCCGGCCUGAUAGGGGAACCGGGCACAGAGAGACGGUGAUAAGGCCUAGAGGACGACGGGAGGGAGAAGUGGGGAAUAUUGGACAAUGGGUGCAAGCCUGAUGCAGCGACGCCGAGUGAGGGAUGCGGACCUUCGGGUUGUGAACCUCUGUCGGACAAGAUCAAGCCGCAACUAUGGUUGUGGUGAGGGUAGUGGGUAAGGAAGCGCCGGCUAACUACGUG
rnacentral:rRNA from 1 species